GAUUGUGGCUCAGUGGUAGAGCGCUGCUUGCCUAGCACGGGCAGGACCUGGGUUUGAUUCUCAGCGCAACG
rnacentral:tRNA from 1 species